UCAAGUGAAGAAGCGCAUACGGUGGAUGCCUUGGCAGUCAGAGGCGAUGAAAGACGUGGUAGCCUGCGAAAAGCUUCGGGGAGUCGGCAAACAGACUGUGAUCCGGAGAUGUCUGAAUGGGGGAACCCAGCCAUCACAAGAUGGUUAUCUUACACUGAAUACAUAGGUGUAAGAGGCGAACCAGGGGAACUGAAACAUCUAAGUACCCUGAGGAAAAGAAAUCAACCGAGAUUCCCUUAGUAGUGGCGAGCGAACGGGGACCAGCCCUUAAGUUGUAUUGAGAUUAGCGGAACGCUCUGGAAAGUGCGGCCAUAGUGGGUGAUAGCCCUGUACGCGAAAAUCCCUUUGCAAUGAAAUCGAGUAGGACGGGGCACGAGAAACCUUGUCUGAAUAUGGGGGGACCAUCCUCCAAGGCUAAAUACUACUGACUGACCGAUAGUGAACCAGUACCGUGAGGGAAAGGCGAAAAGAACCGCGGAGAGCGGAGUGAAAUAGAUCCUGAAACCGUAUGCGUACAAGCAGUGGGAGCCCACUUUGUUGGGUGACUGCGUACCUUUUGUAUAAUGGGUCAGCGACUUAUUUUCAGUGGCGAGCUUAACCGAAUAGGGGAGGCGUAGCGAAAGCGAGUCUUAAUAGGGCGUCUAGUCGCUGGGAAUAGACCCGAAACCGGGCGAUCUAUCCAUGGGCAGGUUGAAGGUUGGGUAACACUAACUGGAGGACCGAACCGACUACCGUUGAAAAGUUAGCGGAUGACCUGUGGAUCGGAGUGAAAGGCUAAUCAAGCUCGGAGAUAGCUGGUUCUCCUCGAAAGCUAUUUAGGUAGCGCCUCAUGUAUCACUGUAGGGGGUAGAGCACUGUUUCGGCUAGGGGGUCAUCCCGACUUACCAAACCGAUGCAAACUCCGAAUACCUACAAGUGCCGAGCAUGGGAGACACACGGCGGGUGCUAACGUCCGUCGUGAAAAGGGAAACAACCCAGACCGUCAGCUAAGGUCCCAAAGUCAUGGUUAAGUGGGAAACGAUGUGGGAAGGCUUAGACAGCUAGGAGGUUGGCUUAGAAGCAGCCACCCUUUAAAGAAAGCGUAAUAGCUCACUAGUCGAGUCGGCCUGCGCGGAAGAUGUAACGGGGCUCAAACCAUGCACCGAAGCUACGGGUAUCACCUUUGGUGAUGCGGUAGAGGAGCGUUCUGUAAGCCUGUGAAGGUGAGUUGAGAAGCUUGCUGGAGGUAUCAGAAGUGCGAAUGCUGACAUGAGUAACGACAAUGGGUGUGAAAAACACCCACGCCGAAAGACCAAGGUUUCCUGCGCAACGUUAAUCGACGCAGGGUUAGUCGGUCCCUAAGGCGAGGCUGAAAAGCGUAGUCGAUGGAAAACAGGUUAAUAUUCCUGUACUUCUGGUUAUUGCGAUGGAGGGACGGAGAAGGCUAGGCCAGCCUGGCGUUGGUAGUCCAGGUUUAAGGUGGUAGGCUGAGAUCUUAGGUAAAUCCGGGAUCUUAAGGCCGAGAGCUGAUGACGAGUGUUCUUUUAGAACAUGAAGUGGUUGAUGCCAUGCUUCCAAGAAAAGCUUCUAAGCUUCAGGUAACCAGGAACCGUACCCCAAACCGACACAGGUGGUUGGGUAGAGAAUACCAAGGCGCUUGAGAGAACUCGGGUGAAGGAACUAGGCAAAAUGGCACCGUAACUUCGGGAGAAGGUGCGCCGGUGAGGGUGAAGCAUUUACUGCGUAAGCCCACGCCGGUCGAAGAUACCAGGCCGCUGCGACUGUUUAUUAAAAACACAGCACUCUGCAAACACGAAAGUGGACGUAUAGGGUGUGACGCCUGCCCGGUGCCGGAAGGUUAAUUGAUGGGGUUAGCGCAAGCGAAGCUCUUGAUCGAAGCCCCGGUAAACGGCGGCCGUAACUAUAACGGUCCUAAGGUAGCGAAAUUCCUUGUCGGGUAAGUUCCGACC
rnacentral:rRNA from 1 species